GGAAUAGGGCUCUGGUCUAUAGUAGUGUUCUAUAUAGGGAAUAGGGCUCUGGUCUAUAGUAGUGUACUAUAUAGGGAAUAGGGCUCUGGUCUAUAGUAGUGCACUAUAUAGGGAAUAGGGCCCUGAUCAACAGUAGUGUUCUGUAUAGGGUAUCAUUUGGGAUCUAACCACUCUUCUGAUGAGAGAACAUGUGACAAACAAGUACACUAUAUAGAAACAGGGUGGUGUUUGGGACGCAGGUCCAUAAAAUAGUGGCUUCACCAUCCAGCUGAUAACAAUUUCAUCCACAUCUGAUAACUAGGAUAGCAGUCAUUUAAUAUAAAAACAAUCACAAUGUCAUGGCAACUAAUGAUCUGUGAUUAGGUAAGUAUAGGGAGAGAGGAAUGGGACUGGGAGAGAGGGGUGGAGGGAGAGGAGGAGGGGUGGAGAGAGGUAGAGAGAGAGGAAGAGGUAGAGAGAGAGGAAGAGGUAGAGAGAGAUUUAAAGAGGUAGAGAGAGUGAGAGAGUG
ensembl:lncRNA